rnacentral:tRNA from 1 species
GCCAGUGUGGCAUAAUUGUUUGAGUGUUAGACUAUGACUCUGGAGACCAGGGUUCAAUUCCCAGCUCCGCCA